rnacentral:ncRNA from 1 species
UUAAGUGCAAUGAUGGGGAAUAGUAGAAAAGUUUAUUCUUAUAGAGAGGAAACGGUUGGUGAAAGUUUCUAGAGUAUCUUUUUGAACCCGCUCCUAAGCUGUUGGUGAAAUAAGCCAUACCAGUUAUAGCGCUGUUAAAGCUAUUUGAGUGAAUCACAAUUGUGAUUAAUUUGGGUGGUACCGCGGUUAACUUCCGUCCCUGUU